GGAAACAUGGGUGAGUGGACGAAACCAGCACACUGCUAACGUGCCGAGCCGCGACACGGUUCCGAAGGUUCGAAUCCUUCUGUUUCCG
rnacentral:tRNA from 1 species